rnacentral:tRNA from 1 species
GGAACUUAGGCUAAUUAAUAAGCCGGAGACCUUCAAAGUCUCAGAUGUGCUAUAACACACAGUCCCUG